GACGAACGCUGGCGGCGUGCUUAACACAUGCAAGUCGAACGGAAAGACCCUGCUUUUGUGGGGUGCUCGAGUGGCGAACGGGUGAGUAACACGUGAGUAACCUGCCCUUGACUUUGGGAUAACUUCAGGAAACUGGGGCUAAUACCGGAUAGGAGCUCCUGCUGCAUGGUGGGGGUUGGAAAGUUUCGGCGGUUGGGGAUGGACUCGCGGCGUAUCAGCUUGUUGGUGGGGUAGUGGCUUACCAAGGCUUUGACGGGUAGCCGGCCUGAGAGGGUGACCGGCCACAUUGGGACUGAGAUACGGCCCAGACUCCUACGGGAGGCAGCAGUGGGGAAUAUUGCACAAUGGGCGGAAGCCUGAUGCAGCAACGCCGCGUGCGGGAUGACGGCCUUCGGGUUGUAAACCGCUUUCGCCUGUGACGAAGCGUGAGUGACGGUAAUGGGUAAAGAAGCACCGGCUAACUACGUG
rnacentral:rRNA from 1 species